GAUAGGUGGACUUCGAGAAUCGACGUAAUAUAUAUAAAUGAGUGAAGCAAAGAAAAUUUAGCAAUAUCCGAGAGACAAAAGUUGUGUGGUUGAAAAAACUCAAACACAGUUAUGAAGAAAGCAUUUCUGGUGUUUCUGUGCGUAUGCCUUUUGUUAGGUGCAAUAGUAGUUCCUGAGGUAGAGGCCGGAUAUUAUGGGGGAAGAUAUAGAUAUAGCAGAAGGUAUAGUGGAGGAGGCAGAGGUCGUUAUUACAGAAGAGGCGGUUACCACAACAAGCAUAAAUACGGAUAAUUUCACUACUGCAGGAAAAAAUCUCGAAUGGCGAUGACUUGGAUUUUAUGAAGUUUCUCUGAUGUGUUACUCGACUGUAGUUCCUUGUAUACUCUUCGAAAGGGUGCUUCGAAUAUGACUAUUCAACUUUGAAUUAUACAGUUUCGAAGCUCUUCAUUUUAAUUAGAUAUCUUUUUAACUUCUGCCUUUGUACUUCCUUGUAUACUACUGUAAUAAAUGGAAUUUAGCAUCA